rnacentral:rRNA from 1 species
AAAAUGAAGAGCUUAUAUCAUGGUUCAGAUUGAACGCUGGCGGCAGGCUAACCACAUGCAAGUCGAACGGUAACAGGAAGAAGCUUGCUUCUUUGCUGACGAUGGGCGGACGGGUGAGUAAAGUCUGGGAAACUGCAUGAUGGAGGGGGAUAACUACUGGAAACAGUAGCUAAUACCGCAUAACGUCGCAAGACCAAAGAGGGGGACCUUCGGGCCUCUUGCCAUCGGAUGUGCCCAGAUGGGAUUAGCUAGUAGGUGGGGUAACGGCUCACCUAGGCGACGAUCCCUAGCUGGUCUGAGAGGAUGACCAGCCACACUGGAACUGAGACACGGUCCAGACUCCUACGGGAGGCAGCAGUGGGGAAUAUUGCACAAUGGGCGCAAGCCUGAUGCAGCCAUGCCGCGUGUAUGAAGAAGGCCUUCGGGUUGUAAAGUACUUUCAGCGGGGAGGAAGGGAGUAAAGUUAAUACCUUUGCUCAUUGACGUUACCCGCAGAAGAAGCACCGGCUAACUCCGUGCCAGCAGCCGCGGUAAUACGGAGGGUGCAAGCGUUAAUCGGAAUUACUGGGCGUAAAGCGCACGCAGGCGGUUUGUUAAGUCAGAUGUGAAAUCCCCGGGCUCAACCUGGGAACUGCAUCUGAUACUGGCAAGCUUGAGUCUCGUAGAGGGGGGUAGAAUUCCAGGUGUAGCGGUGAAAUGCGUAGAGAUCUGGAGGAAUACCGGUGGCGAAGGCGGCCCCCUGGACGAAGACUGACGCUCAGGUGCGAAAGCGUGGGGAGCAAACAAGAUUAGAUCCCCUGGUAGUCCACGCCG